rnacentral:rRNA from 1 species
UACGUAGGUGGCAAGCGUUGUCCGGAUUUACUGGGCGUAAAGCGAACGCAGGCGGAGUGUUAAGUAAGAAGUGAAAAGGUUGGAGCUCAACUCUGACACGGCUUCUUAUACUGGCAUUCUUGAGUCUUGGAGAGGAAAGCGGAACGACACGUGUAGCGGUGAAAUGCGUUGAUAUGUGUCGGAACACCGAUGGCGAAAGCAGCUUUCUGGACAAGUACUGACGCUGAGGUUCGAAAGCCAAGGGAGCGAACAGG